GGUUCAUCCUCUAACAAAAAGAGGACACGUGGCCUAACACGUAACUUAGAUUUACUUAGUAUGAAACCCGGGGAAAAAAAAACUACACGAUUCAAUACCAGAGGGCAAGUUGUUUAUGAUGGAAAAGGGGAAAGAUUGUCAAGCUAUAUGGGAACAUUGGUGCGAUCUCAAUACAAUGUACCUAUCUAAGUUCAAGAUUGGAAUCAUGUUAGUGAAGAUGUGAAGGAAAAGAUUUGGGCCUUAGUAUUGGAAAAAUAUGAACUAGAAUAAACAUGUAAGAGCUACAUUCUUCAAUGUUGUGGAAAUUUGUUUAGAAGCUAUAGAAAUAAAAUGAAGGCCAAGUAUUAUAACCUUUAUAAUACAAAUGAGGAGAGAUUGUGUCAUCGACCUCCACACUUAUCAGAUGAUGUUUGCCUUGACACACACAAGAAAAGAUGGGACGCCUGUUGAUGAUCAUUCUAAGGAGAUUAUGGAUCAAUUUCAGCAAUUACUAUCCCAACCUAAGGGGACAUCUUCUACUACUUCUGCAUCAUCUAGAGCAUCUACAUCUGUAGCAUUUACAUAUGUAGAUGAGAUAUAUACUUAAGUCAUGGGUCCAGAGAGGCAUGGUUGUGUUCAAGGGUAUGGAUUUGGUCCUACUCCUACCUCAAUCUUUGGUUCUACUAGUAGAAGGCGAUUAGGAGUUAUUCUUUCAACACAAAUUGAAAACGCCCAAGAGAUGCUAAUAGCUGCAGAACAAAAGUUUACAACUGCAACUGAAGAACUCUCAAAUAUGAAAGAGGAACUCUCACAUGUGAAAGAAACAUUUGAAGAAAGGUUGAUAGAAGUUCAAAGGAAGACACGAGAAGAAGUGAAAGAAGAGUUUGAAGAAAAAAUGAUGGAAAUGCAAAGAAAAAUGCAAGCACAAAUUCAAGAACAAAUGAUGCAACAAUUUUAGCAAAAGCAGUAGAAAUUUGAAGAUUUUGCUACAUCUUUAUAUGAUAGAUUCUCUUAACUUUUUUGAAAAUUAUGCUACUUAUUUAUA